CCUCCCUGGCAAUGGGCAAAGAGGCCCCUUGUUGGUGGUGGUGGUCUUCUACCAGUCAGGGGCAGAGCAGACGGCAGGCCUUUGUUCAUCCUAGCUUGAUGCCUGGCUUGGUGCCCAAAGCUGUUUUAUGCCUAGUACAUAUAA